rnacentral:rRNA from 1 species
UACGUAGGGUGCGAGCGUUAAUCGGAAUUACUGGGCGUAAAGCGUGCGCAGGCGGCGCGUUAAGACAGGUGUGAAAGCCCCGAGCUUAACUUGGGAAUUGCGCUUGUGACUGGCGUGCUGGAGUGUGGCAGAGGGAGGUGGAAUUCCACGUGUAGCAGUGAAAUGCGUAGAGAUGCGGAGGAACACCGAUGGCGAAGGCAGCCCCCUGGGCCAAUACUGACGCUCAGGCACGAAAGCGUGGGGAGCAAACAGG